AUUUGUCUGGUUAAUUCCGAUAACGAACGAGACCUUAACCUGCUAACUAGAUUCGAUUAUACUAUAUUCGAUAUCUUCUUAGAGGGACUAUGUAAUACAAAUACAUGGAAGUUUGAGGCAAUAACAGGUCAGUGAUGCCCUUAUAUGUCCUGGGCUGCACGCGUGCUACACUGAUGCAUACAACAAGUGCCUAACCAGACAUGGUACGGCAAUCUCGAAUAUGCAUCGUGAUGGGGAUAGACCUUUGCAAUUAUAGAUCUUGAACGAGGAAUUCCUAGUAAGUGCAAGUCAUCAUCUUGCAUUGAUUAUGUCCCUGCCCUUUGUACACACCGCCCGUCGCUCCUACCGAUACCGGGUGAUCCGGUGAACCUUUUGGACUCUUUAUGGGAAAGAUAAGUAAACCAUAUCACCUAGAGGAAGGAGAAGUCGUAACAAGGUUUCCGUAGGUGAACCUGCRGAAGGAUCA
rnacentral:rRNA from 1 species